UUGGAGGGCAAGUCUGGUGCCAGCAGCCGCGGUAAUUCCAGCUCCAAUAGCGUAUAUUAAAGUUGUUGCAGUUAAAAAGCUCGUAGUUGAAUUUCGGGACCAUCAUGUCGGUCGUGCCUCGGUACGUACUGGCAUUGUUGGUUUCUCCCUUCUGACGAACCAUGAUGUCAUUUAUUUGGUGUUGUGGGGAAUCAGGACUGUUACUUUGAAAAAAUUAGAGUGUUUAAAGCAGGCUCACGCUUGAAUACAUUAGCAUGGAAUAAUGAAAUAGGACGUUUGAUUCUAUUUUGUUGGUUUCUAGGAUCGACGUAAUGAUUAAUAGGGAUAGUUGGGGGCAUUAGUAUUCAAUUGUCAGAGGUGAAAUUCUUGGAUUUAUUGAAGACUAACUUCUGCGAAAGCAUUUGCCAAGGAUGUUUUCAUUAAUCAAGAACGAAAGUUAGGGGAUCGAAGACGAUCAGAUACCGUCGUAGUCUUAACCAUAAACUAUGCCGACUAGGGAUCGGACGAUGUUAAUUUUUUAAUGACUCGUUCGGCGCCUUACGGGAAAC
rnacentral:rRNA from 1 species